rnacentral:rRNA from 1 species
GAGAGGACCGGAGUGGACGCAUCACUGGUGUUCGGGUUGUCAUGCCAAUGGCACUGCCCGGUAGCUAAAUGCGGAAGAGAUAAGUGCUGAAAGCAUCUAAGCACGAAACUUGCCCCGAGAUGAGUUCUCCCUGAGACUUUAAGUCUCCUGAAGGAACGUUGAAGACGACGACGUUGAUAGGUCGGGUGUGUAAGCGCAGCGAUGCGUUGAGCUAACCGAUACUAAUGAACCGUGAGGCUUAACCUU